rnacentral:rRNA from 1 species
UAGGGAAUCUUCGGCAAUGGGGGCAACCCUGACCGAGCAACGCCGCGUGAGUGAAGAAGGUUUUCGGAUCGUAAAGCUCUGUUGUAAGAGAAGAACGUGUGUGAGAGUGGAAAGUUCACACAGUGACGGUAACUUACCAGAAAGGGACGGCUAACUACGUGCCAGCAGCCGCGGUAAUACGUAGGUCCCGAGCGUUGUCCGGAUUUAUUGGGCGUAAAGCGAGCGCAGGCGGUUUAAUAAGUCUGAAGUUAAAGGCAGUGGCUUAACCAUUGUUCGCUUUGGAAACUGUUAAACUUGAGUGCAGAAGGGGAGAGUGGUAUUCCAUGUGUAGCGGUGAAAUGCGUAGAUAUAUGGAGGAACACCGGUGGCGAAAGCGGCUCUCUGGUCUGUAACUGACGCUGAGGCUCGAAAGCGUGGGGAGCAAACAGG